rnacentral:tRNA from 1 species
AAAGGGAGACCUAAUUCAGGUAUAAGACGAAAAAAAAGUAGUCCCUACCAAGAAUCAAUCCCAAAAGGUCGGAACGAGGUAUGAGGCUUUCAAACUAGGUUCUGGGUUCAUAAAAGACCUGAAUCAGGAACAAGGGCUAUUAGCUCAGGUGGUUAGAGCGCACCCCUGAUAAGGGUGAGGUCCCUGGUUCGAGUCCAGGAUGGCCCACCUGCACAGGUGGCAAAAACAAGAGAAGCGAGGAAUCAGCACCUUAUCUUACUGACAUAGUAAGAGAGAAUGCUGGCUCUGAGUAAAGAGUCCAGAGGAACCUUGAAAACUGCAUAGAGCUAGGUGAAAAAGCCAAAAAGAAGACCGCAAG